GACGAACGCUGGCGGCGUGCUUAACACAUGCAAGUCGAACGGAAAUGCCCUGCUUUUGUGGGGUGCUCGAGUGGCGAACGUGUGAGUAACACGUGAGUAACCUGCCCUUGACUUUGGGAUAACUUCAGGAAACUUGGGCUAAUACCGGAUAGGAGCUCCUGCUGCAUGGUGGGUGUUGGAAAGUUUCGGCGGUUGGGGAUGGACUCGCGGCUUAUCAGCUUGUUGGUGGGGUAGUGGCUUACCAAGGCUUUGACGGGUAGCCGGCCUGAGAGGGUGACCGGCCACAUUGGGACUGAGAUACGGCACAGACUCAUACGGGAGGCAGCAGUGGGGAAUAUUGCACAAUGGGCGGAAGCCUGAUGCAGCAACGCCGCGUGCGGGAUGACGGCCUUCGGGUUGGAAACCGCUUUCGCCUGUGACGAAGAGUGAGUGACGGUAAUGGGUAAAGAAGCACCGGCUAACUACGUG
rnacentral:rRNA from 1 species